ACAUGUUUCUUUUCUUCUUAUGCCCAUUUGAUAGGCAGCUUCUGUCAGAGAAAGUCCACUGUGUCCAGUGGAAGCCAGAGGAGACUCCUUUCACAAGUAUGUUCAGAACUGACCUCCAGAAUGUUACCUGGAUAACUGGAUCAAUGGAAAUCCUCAAGGUACAAAGAGGAUAUUUUGAAACCAAUCUGUUUACAUCAGAAGUGUUGAACAAGUUUGUUAUACAAGAAAGGAAACAGUGGAAUGAAAAUCAAACUGACCCCAUCAGACUUCCUGGUCACAGAAAUGAUAAUCUGAUGGCGACCAGGCUGCAUCACUUUCCCUGGGGGUCAGUGUUUAGGAGACUGAGAGCUGGCUGAUUUGAAGGACCCUAGACUAAAGCAAGCAUACAUUGGACUGUCCUCUCUGGGGGGUCAGAUCCACUGCUCUGGACUGGACAUUGCAGAACAGACAAUGACAUUAUUAACACCUCAAAGUCAGGACUCUGUGCUGUGUCUUCACUUGAAGGCUUUCUUUUUCUGUAGGAAUGAGAUUUUUGUUACAUUCCUGAUCCCACGCCAUAGCUCUUUUAUUGAGGAAAAAUAUGAUUUAAAUACAAUGAGACAAAUUGAUAAGUCAGAGUCUGUCCCCAAAAACGCAUCAUCUGGAAAAUUAUCCUGAACUAUUAUCAAAAGCUAUUUCUACAAUCUUAACAUAGGUAGAGAACUUACCAAGUUAAACAUCAGAGGUGAAGAAUGGGUUCUAUCAACUGGAUUUAAUCAACAAGCUUUUUUCUUUUUAAGCUGAGAAGAGAGCUGAUAUCAACAAUAACCU
rnacentral:lncRNA from 1 species